rnacentral:rRNA from 1 species
GAUGAACGCUGGCGGCGUGCUUAACACAUGCCAGUCGAACGGAAAGGCCCAAGCUUGCUUGGGUACUCGAGUGGCGAACGGGUGAGUAACACGUGGGUGAUCUGCCCUGCACUUCGGGAUAAGCCUGGGAAACUGGGUCUAAUACCGGAUAGGACCACAUUUUGGAUGGUGUGGUGGAAAGUUUUUCGGUGUGGGAUGAGCUCGCGGCCUAUCAGCUUGUUGGUGGGGUAAUGGCCUACCAAGGCGUCGACGGGUAGCCGGCCUGAGAGGGUGUAUGGCCACAUUGGGACUGAGAUACGGCCCAGACUCCUACGGGAGGCAGCAGUGGGGAAUAUUGCACAAUGGGCGCAAGCCUGAUGCAGCGACGCCGCGUGGGGGAUGACGGCCUUCGGGUUGGAAACUCCUUUCGCUAGGGACGAAGCGUUAUGUGACGGUACCUGGAGAAGAAGCACCGGCUAACUACGUG